GGCCAUAUCACGUUAAAAUACCGGUUCCCGUAUGAUCACCGAAGUUAAGCAACGUCGAGCCUGGACAGUAUCUAGAUAGGUGACCUAUUCGAAAUAUCAGAUGCUGUAAG